rnacentral:rRNA from 1 species
GACGAACGCUGGCGGCAGGCUUAACACAUGCAAGUCGAACGCACCGCAAGGUGAGUGGCAGACGGGUGAGUAACACGUGGGGAUCUGCCCAAUGGUACGGAAUAGCUCCGGGAAACUGGAAUUAAUACCGUAUGAGCCCGCAAGGGGAAAGAUUUAUCGCCAUUGGAUGAACCCGCGUCGGAUUAGCUAGUUGGUGUGGUAAAGGCGCACCAAGGCGACGAUCCGUAGCUGGUCUGAGAGGAUGAUCAGCCACACAGGGACUGAGACAUGGCCCAGACUCCUACGGGAGGCAGCAGUGGGGAAUCUUGCGCAAGGGCCGAAAGGCUGACGCAGCGACGCCGCGUGUGGGAUGAAGGUCUUCGGAUUGUAAACCACUGUCGGGGGGGACGAAAUCUUGACGGUACCCCCAAAGGAAGCACCGGCUAACUCUGUGCCAGCCGCCGCCGUAAUAC